UUGUAAAACGACGUUAUGCAUGAACGUAAUGCUCACAACUUCCCUCUGGACCUAGCUGCUGCUGAAGUUCCGUCCAUUAAUGGAUAAGACUUCUGUCUUAAUGUAUAUAAAUUUGUAAUUUUUAGAAGCAAUACCCAAUAUCUUGUUUUAGCAAGAUAUUGGGUAUUUUUUGUUUUCUUCUGUUUGAUUCCCAUCGAUUUUGGAUUCUAAAUCCUCAUUAACGAGUUUAACGACGAGAUUGAUUAUCGUCUUUUUCUUGAUAUUUCGUGUAAGUCAGAGUAGGCACGAAUUCCCCCAAUUUAUGACCUACCAUAUAAUCGGUUAUAUAAAUAGGUAAAUGCUCCUUUCCAUUAUGAAUAGCGAUUGUAUGGCCAAUCAUUGAGAGUGUAAUGGUAGAUGCCCGAGACCAAGUUACUAUUGUUUCUUUCUCCUUCCUCAUGUUGAGUUUUUCAAUCUUUCUGGUUAAAUGAUUAGCUACAAAAGGAUCUUCCUUUUCGACAAAAGACUUCUUUUUUACAAAAAGCUUUCUUUUUUGCAAACGUCUCACAGUUGAUUACUCCUUUUUUUACAUUGGAAAGGUUGGCAUUCUAUGCCCACUAUCUCGAUCUAAGUAUGGAAGUCAGAAUAAAUACAAGAAUGGUGAAUGGAAAAAAGAGAAAAUCCUUAAGGGGCGGAUGUAGCCAAAUGGAUUAAGGCAGUGGAUUGUGAAUCCACCAUGCGCGCCUGUGUGAA
rnacentral:misc_RNA from 1 species